rnacentral:rRNA from 1 species
CCUACGGGUGGCAGCAGUGGGGAAUAUUGGGCAAUGGACGCAAGUCUGACCCAGCAACGCCGCGUGAAGGAAGAAGGCUUUCGGGUUGUAAACUUCUUUUAUUGGGGAAGAGCAGAAGACGAUAUCCCUUGAAUAAGCCACGGCUAACUACGUGCCAGCAGCCGGGGUAAUACGUAGGUGGCAAGCGUUGUCCGGAUUUACUGGGUGUAAAGCGCGUGCAGGCGGAGAGACAAGUCAGAUGUGAAAUCCUCGGGCUUAACCAGAGAACUGCAUUUGAAACUGUUUCCCUUGAGUAUUGGAGAGGUAGGCGGAAUUCCUGGUGUAGGGGUAAAAUGCGUAGAGAUUAGGAAGAAUAC